AUUUGUACUUACGUGUAAUUUGCUUAUUUAUUCUUAUUGGUUGAAAGUCAUCUCCGAAGUGAUUCAACUUAUGCAAUGCGCAUUUAUGUUUGUUUGAACUUGACUGCGAUUUGUGCAUCAUUUAUGCCUUAGCAACAACUGUUGUUUGGUGUACCAUGACCGAUCAGCGAGAAAAGUGAAUGUUUAUAAUGGUGGAUAAUCGUGCACUAAUAGCCGCCCAUCAAAAACUCAUCAAAGUAAUGAAACUCUUUUCGUAAAUUUCCAUUAACGGCGAGUUGACAUUUGCCUGCGUACGUGAGCAAGUUCAUAGGCAACCAACAAUACAUCUAUGAAAUUACAGGGUAAAAACAAAUCGUCAAAAGGUAUUUUUGAGAAUAAUCCACGCGCAAUUGAUGUGACAAUCGCACCGACAGCUUCCUUCAGCGAUGGGUAGAGUUCAUCAGUGACAUCUUUCCAGUUUUCAUCCAAGAAACGAUUCAUGUUGUCACCUAACAUCCGGUCGCCAUUAAAUAAAUUAUCCAAUUUAAGGUAAAUCCUUUUCGCGGUGUAUUCUAGAUUAGUCCAGGUCCCUGGCCCACAACAGGAAGGAUAAGAAUCCUUCCGCUGAUGUUAUAAUUCGCCAACACAUUCAGAUGCGCAAUGUCAACUUCAAGAGUAGUUUUCUGCUCUUUGAAGUCAACGUGCAUGCCAGUGACAACUGAAGACUCAAGACCAUGCAAUUCACAAUCGGUAAACUGCAUGGAUAAACUAUCUUUGGAGUUAAUAUUAAUUUGUGGUACUUUUAACGGUAGUAAAUUCGGCAGGUUAAACUUGGCAUCACCUACAAAUCAUAAUAAGGUAGGCAACUUAAUAUACACGCAUCUAGGGUUAUUGCACAAUCGCACAAUAAAAACACAAUAAAAACCAAUUUUUACCUUUUAAAACAAAUGGAAGCGCUUUGUUUGCAUGAUCCACCAUGCAUUCGUCAAUAUGCGGAUCACUUCGACUACACGCCGUGAUGUAAUCAGCUGGAGUUAAUAAAACAAUAAACAAUCACUAAUUA